GGGUGAGUAACGCGUAAGGAACUUGCCUCUUGGUCUGGGACAACUGUUGGAAACGACAGCUAAUACCGGAUAUUAUGAGAUUCUCGCAUGGGAAACUUAUGAAAGCUAUAUUCGCCAAGAGAGAGCCUUGCGUUCCAUUAGCUAGUUGGUGGGGUAACGGCCCACCAAGGCGACGAUGGAUAGCCGGCCUGAGAGGGUGAACGGCCACAAGGGGACUGAGACACGGCCCUUACUCCUACGGGAGGCAGCAGUGGGGAAUAUUGGACAAUGGGCCACAAGCCUGAUCCAGCAAUUCUGUGUGCACGAUGAAGGUCUUCGGAUUGUAAAGUGCUUUCAGUUGGGAAGAAGAAAGUGACGGUACCAACAGAAGAAGCGACGGCUAAAUACGUGCCAGCAGCCGCGGUAAUACGUAUGUCGCAAGCGUUAUCCGGAUUUAUUGGGCGUAAAGCGCGUCUAGGCGGAAAAAUAAGUCUGAUGUUAAAAUGCGGGGCUCAACUCCGUAUUGCGUUGGAAACUGUUUUUCUAGAGUACUGGAGAGGUGGGCGGAACUACAAGUGUAGAGGUGAAAUUCGUAGAUAUUUGUAGGAAUGCCGAUGGAGAAGUCAGCUCACUGGACAGAUACUGACGCUAAAGCGCGAAAGCGUG
rnacentral:rRNA from 1 species